rnacentral:rRNA from 1 species
UACGUAGGGCGCAAGCGUUGUCCGGAAUUAUUGGGCGUAAAGAGCUCGUAGGCGGCUUGUCACGUCGGGUGUGAAAGCCCGGGGCUUAACCCCGGGUCUGCAUUCGAUACGGGCAGGCUAGGGUGUGGUAGGGGAGAUCGGAAUUCCUGGUGUAGCGGUGAAAUGCGCAGAUAUCAGGAGGAACACCAGUGGCGAAGGCGGAUCUCUGGGCCAUUACUGACGCUGAGGAGCGAAAGCGUGGGGAGCGAACAGG